GAAUGAAGGAAAAUAAUGAGGAAGAUUGUCCUAAAACAUUCCAUAUUCUUAAACUAUGAUAAAGUUCAUUUCUUGAAAUAAUUUACGGCCUAAAAAUGGACAGUAUUCUAGAAAAGAUUGCUCCAACAGAAUCCAAUGACAUUUAAUUCAUGAAUGACAUCCAACAAUCACAUGAUUUUAUCUUACAUAUUAUGUUUAUAUUUGAAGACUUCUAAUGGGGUUACCCAAGAAACUAAGAAAGCACA
rnacentral:misc_RNA from 1 species